rnacentral:rRNA from 1 species
GAUGAACGCUGGCGGCGUGCCUAAUACAUGCGAGUCGAGCGAACGGACGAGAAGCUUGCUUCUCUGAUGUUAGCGGUGGACGGGUGAGUAACACGUGGAUAACCUACCUAUAAGACUGGGAUAACUUCGGGAAACCGGAGCUAAUACCGGAUAAUAUUUUGAACCGCAUGGUUCAAAAGUGAAAGACGGUCUUGCUGUCACUUAUAGAUGGAUCCGCGCUGCAUUAGCUAGUUGGUAAGGUAACGGCUUACCAAGGCAACGAUGCAUAGCCGACCUGAGAGGGUGAUCGGCCACACUGGAACUGAGACACGGUCCAGACUCCUACGGGAGGCAGCAGUAGGGAAUCUUCCGCAAUGGGCGAAAGCCUGACGGAGCAACGCCGCGUGAGUGAUGAAGGUCUUCGGAUCGUAAAACUCUGUUAUUAGGGAAGAACAUAUGUGUAAGUAACUGUGCACAUCUUGACGGUACCUAAUCAGAAAGCCACGGCUAACUACGUG